rnacentral:rRNA from 1 species
UACAGAGGGGGCAAGCGUUAUUCGGAAUUAUUGGGCGUAAAGGGCGCGUAGGCGGCUUGGCAAGUGGAUGGUGAAAUCCCUCGGCUUAACCGAGGAACUGCCGUCCAAACUGCUUUGCUUGAGACCGGGAGAGGUGAGUGGAAUUCCCAGUGUAGCGGUGAAAUGCGUAGAUAUUGGGAGGAACACCAGUGGCGAAGGCGGCCGGCUGGGGGUGACCUGACGCUGAGGCGCGAAAGCGUGGGGAGCGAACCGG